rnacentral:rRNA from 1 species
UGGGGAAUAUUGCACAAUGGGCGCAAGCCUGAUGCAGCCAUGCCGCGUGUGUGAAGAAGGCCUUCGGGUUGUAAAGCACUUUUGGCAGGAAAGAAACGUCGCGGGUUAAUACCCCGCGAAACUGACGGUACCUGCAGAAUAAGCACCGGCUAACUACGUGCCAGCAGCCGCGGUAAUACGUAGGGUGCAAGCGUUAAUCGGAAUUACUGGGCGUAAAGCGUGCGCAGGCGGUUCGGAAAGAAAGAUGUGAAAUCCCAGAGCUUAACUUUGGAACUGCAUUUUUAACUACCGGGCUAGAGUGUGUCAGAGGGAGGUGGAAUUCCGCGUGUAGCAGUGAAAUGCGUAGAUAUGCGGAGGAACACCGAUGGCGAAGGCAGCCUCCUGGGAUAACACUGACGCUCAUGCACGAAAGCGUGGGGAGCAAACAGGAUUAGAUACCCUGGUAGUCCACGCCCUAAACGAUGUCAACUAGCUGUUGGGGCCUUCGGGCCUUGGUAGCGCAGCUAACGCGUGAAGUUGACCGCCUGGGGAGUACGGUCGCAAGAUUAAAAGCUCAAAGGAAUUGACGGGGUCAUAGCUGUUUCC